UACGUAGGGAGCAAGCGUUGUCCGGAAUCAUUGGGCGUAAAGCGCGCGUAGGCGGCCCGAUAAGUCCGCUGUGAAAAGUCAACGGCUCAACUGUUGGAUGCCGGUGGAUACUGUCGGGCUAGAGUACGGAAGAGGCAAGUGGAAUUCCUGGUGUAGCGGUGGAAUGCGCAGAUAUCAGGAGGAACACCUAUAGCGAAGGCAGCUUGCUGGGACGUUACUGACGCUAAGGCGCGAAAGCGUGGGGAGCGAACAGG
rnacentral:rRNA from 1 species